AAAAAAUCUAUUGAUAUAUUGAACCUGGGGGGCAAAGGUUCAAUAUAUCGUUUGAAAAAAAAAAAGAAUCCAUAGAUGUAUUAAACCUGGUGGCUACGGAAGCAGCCGCGUCCGUUCUGACCACCCAGCAAGCCUGUUGGAACCGAGGGGCGUCCCUUCUCUUUAUGUGUAGUCUCGCUCACACUCACAGCUAACACUUGGCGUGUCAGCCCAGCACGGCAGGGAUUUGGAUGUCUUGUCUAUUACAACCGUAGUACACGAGAAUGGAUACGGAAGGCUACCAGAGCAGGCUUGUUCUACCCAGAAGCAAUCAUGGGCACAAUGAGGGCUUCUGGGCCAAAAUGAACGUGUGUUUGGGAUGAUGACUCGUUGGCGGUCCAUUUUCGCGGAGUUCCCCUGAAGUGAGUCCCACAUAUGAUGUGGAGGUUGCUGCGUGUUGUGUCCAUUGACAGUGACAGUGGAGAAGCUUUGCUGAAAAAGCGUCAGCCGACACGUAAAUGGACACACUGUCAGGAGCUUUCUCAUGUCCAGAGGUUGCGCUACCUGUGGAGCACGAUUAUAUGUAAUUAUACAAGUGCCAUUGUAGUACAGCCUGCCCUUUUUUUUAGGGUCCUAUAUCCCGAUUAUUUUUCUUGUAAAUAGACUGUGUGUAGUAAAGUAUGUUUUUGUGCAGUAUUCAAUCAAUACGUUUGAUGGUUAUAGUUCAUUAAUUAUUAACCUAUAUAGGAAAGUUACCGAGAAAGUUAAAAAUAAAUCAAAAGAGCAGCAGCCUGCUCUAUUGGAAUAUCAUACAGGUAGUCAAGCCUCGGUCUGCCUUAUAAAAAUGGCUGACACUCUUUCGACUCGCAGUGAAUAAUGUCAUUUUUUAGGAUAGUUUGGGCAUGAAUAUGUGUUUUGAUAACAUUUCUAGCGAGAAAUGCGUACUUUAUUAUCAUAAUCUUUGUUCAGUGAAUGUUAACGACUUUUAGUUUGUUAGUUGGAUGAACGUUUUCGAUCAUCGCUAUGGCGGUG
ensembl:lncRNA